rnacentral:rRNA from 1 species
UACGGGGGGGGCAAGCGUUGUUCGGAAUCAUUGGGCGUAAAGCGCGUGUAGGCGGCUCGGUAAGUCCGCUCUGAAAGUCCGGGGCUCAACCCCGGGAGGCGGGUGGAUACUGUCGAGCUAGAGUCCGGAAGAGGCGAGUGGAAUUCCUGGUGUAGCGGUGAAAUGCGCAGAUAUCAGGAGGAACACCAAUGGCGAAGGCAGCUCGCUGGGACGGUACUGACGCUGAGACGCGAAAGCGUGGGGAGCGAACAGG